GGACAGAUGGCCGAGCUGGUAAGCACCACACACAACAUCAUUCAAAAUGCGCAACUAACAAAAAUCUCAGGUUAUGGCGCCAGGUUAAGGUAUCUUAACACAAUUUCCUGGUCACGAAAGUGGCGUGGGUUCGAGUCCCACUCUGUUCA